UUUCUCAAGCUGGCGACAUCAAAACCGACAAUCGAAACAGACUAUCCGGUAGAAGAACUUUGGGCACAAGGCACAACUGGAAUGUAUUAAUAAAAAACAAAAAAUAACAAGA